rnacentral:rRNA from 1 species
UACGUAGGGGGCAAGCGUUAUCCGGAUUUACUGGGUGUAAAGGGAGCGUAGACGGCAUGGCAAGUCAGAUGUGAAAGCCCGGGGCUCAACCCCGGGACUGCAUUUGAAACUGUCAGGCUGGAGUGCAGGAGAGGUAAGCGGAAUUCCUAGUGUAGCGGUGAAAUGCGGAGAUAUUAGGAGGAACACCAGUGGCGAAGGCGGCUUACUGGACUGUAACUGACGUUGAGGCUCGAAAGCGUGGGGAGCAAACAGG